ACUAAAACAAAUAAACAUAAAAGUGGAUUAGGGUUAAGUGACCUUUGGGAUUCUUCUCUUCUCCCUCUCACGAUCAUGAAGCAGGCCUCACUCUCAACUCUCAGCUCACCUCUCGAUCGAUAUCUCUCUCGGCUCUAUCUCAUGGUCUCUCUGCUACCGAUUCUUCACUCCCUUUGCUAUCACCGAUCCAAAUCUCUCUAUCAUCAUCGUUUUGCUUCGAAUUCAGUAACAGCAAACAUACAAACCUUCAAUGUUACCCUUUAUCCCAAACAAACCCUAAGCCCCAAUUCGUUAUUGAUUUUCAGUGAUUUAAAGAGCCAGCACAAAAAGGCAGAUCUAGGUGCAGAUUGGCUCCGGUGUGACAGAUGAGAAGAUGAUUUGGGUAGUCGUCCCGGUUCCAUAGUCCAGCUCUUCCUUUGCCGCACUCGAUUUGCUACACUCACAACUCUAGCUUAAAUUCAGGUAUUCUUCAUUCUUCUUUGUGAGCAACUCUAGCUUAUUGUUCUCUCCUUUGUAGUUGUCAAUGCGGUCAAGAGUUAGAUUAAAUAUAACCUAUCCAUUCUACAAAUUAUUAACAUAACUAUAUUUAUGUGGAACUAAUUGUUUAUAGUGUUUCAUGUGCUUUUGAAAGGUAUAGAGUUACUCUUAUGGUCUAGGCUUCAAUUUUGCAAACAAGGUGUUUGUUGAAAUGUCUCUACAAGUUUGGCUAUGAUUUGUUGAAAUUAUUUUCCGAGUCUCAAUAUAAACUCUUGCAUACAUACCAGCUUCUAGCCUCAAACCAAAUGCCUGACUGCCUAACUAAUGCAUGCCAAUAACCAUUCUAAAACACAAGAUAUAGCUGCACUGCUAUAUCAGGUCAUAAUGAUUUCAUAUCUUAUAAUACAUGCCCUCUAAUGCAAAAUCACGUGUGGAGAAUGCACUGUUCCAUUUUAUUAUGUACUGAAAUUUUUUAUUUUUAUCUACAAGAAUGGAUGCAACAAGGACUGAACCACAUGGUCAUAUGAAUUCUUUUAUAUUCUAAUCCAUGCAUAUUCAAUUUUGAUAUUAGUAGUUAGUGUUUCAAAUGUUAAGGAUCAAUUAGUUGAACCAAGGAAUAAGUGCUUCUGCUACUUGGUUCCAGCAACAGACAUCAUGAACAUAAGAAACUAGUCCCUGCAAUUAACAUCUCAUCUGCUUUAUAUGGAUUCAUUUCAUUAAUUUAAUCAUAUCAUCUUAUGCAAAUAGCAUAUUCAAUCUAAGAAUGUUAUUUGGUCACAAUUAAACCAUGACAAAGUUGACCAAGUAUCGUAGGAGUCGUCAGCAAUAUAUAUAGCCUCGAGAGUAAGUCUUAGCAACAUGUUUAAAAUACAAGGCAUAUCAAUGUGAUUUGUUCAUCGGUUCCACUGCUUGCAACUUGAGCCGAGCAGUUAAAGAUAGGCAACGUUAGGAGGAUCAAUCUUUAAUGUGGAGCAUUUUUUUUUCUGUUUUGUAUUUUCUUCCUUGUGUGAAAGCUGCAGGGCUGAUAUUAAGUAAGUGAAUGAUGGAGCUUCAGAGUUGGCCAAGGGUUUCGGUUGUGUUCUGAACUGACCAUGACUGGUUCUGUUUCUCUUUGCGGCGCAAUAAGUGAGUUAAUAAAUGAAGAGGAUGGAGGAAUACACAAGUGACAUGCUUCACCUUCCAUUCGUGAUAGAGGUACACUGAUGUCUUUACCCAGUCAAGCCUCUACUUCGUCUAAUCCACCUAGUUAUGGAACAUCUGCAAUUGUUGCCAUGGAUAGAAGUUCAAGUUUAUCAUCAGGGACAUCCGUCUCCUCUGGUGUACUUAUAUAUAUGAAGUAUGAUUUAUAAUUAACCACUUAUAGGGAUGAUGAUCUGUUUGUAGUGUUUAUAACAAGUCUUUGUCACUCAAGUUUUUAUAUUUAGUUUUGGUUCAGGUUCAUUAGAUAUAUAAUGUACUUAGUCAAUCAUAUACUGAUGCUAUUGUCAUUGAUGUGUAGACAGUAAAAUAAUUUGUAUUCAUAAAAUUAUAGUAAUCAAAUUUUAAAUUCUUUAAAAUUGGCGCAAGUGAUUGGUGUGUUGG